rnacentral:rRNA from 1 species
UUCAGGUUUAAGGUGGUAGGCUGAAAUCUUAGGUAAAUCCGGGGUUUCGAGGCCGAGAGCUGAUGACGAGUCGUCUUUUAGAUGACGAAGUGGUUGAUGCCAUGCUUCCAAGAAAAGCUUCUAAGCUUCAGGUAACCAGGAACCGUACCCCAAACCGACACAGGUGGUCGGGUAGAGAAUACCAAGGCGCUUGAGAGAACUCGGGUGAAGGAACUAGGCAAAAUGGCACCGUAACUUCGGGAGAAGGUGCGCCGGCUAGGGUGAAGGAUUUACUCCGUAAGCUCUGGCUGGUCGAAGAUACCAGGCCGCUGCGACUGUUUAUUAAAAACACAGCACUCUGCAAACACGAAAGUGGACGUAUAGGGUGUGACGCCUGCCCGGUGCCGGAAGGUUAAUUGAUGGGGUUAGCGCAAGCGAAGCUCUUGAUCGAAGCCCCGGUAAACGGCGGCCGUAACAAUAACGGUCCUAAGGUAGCGAAAUUCCUUGUCGGGUAAGUUCCGACCUGCACGAAUGGCGUAACGAUGGCGGCGCUGUCUCCACCCGAGACUCAGUGAAAUUGAAAUCGCUGUGAAGAUGCAGUGUAUCCGCGGCUAGACGGAAAGACCCCGUGAACCUUUACUGUAGCUUUGCACUGGACUUUGAGCCUGCUUGUGUAGGAUAGGUGGGAGGCUUUGAAGCGUGGACGCCAGUUCGCGUGGAGCCAUCCUUGAAAUACCACCCUGGCAUGCUUGAGGUUCUAACUCUGGUCCGUAAUCCGGAUCGAGGACAGUGUAUGGUGGGCAGUUUGACUGGGGCGGUCUCCUCCUAAAGAGUAACGGAGGAGUACGAAGGUGCGCUCAGACCGGUCGGAAAUCGGUCGCAGAGUAUAAAGGCAAAAGCGCGCUUGACUGCGAGACAGACACGUCGAGCAGGUACGAAAGUAGGUCUUAGUGAUCCGGUGGUUCUGUAUGGAAGGGCCAUCGCUCAACGGAUAAAAGGUACUCCGGGGAUAACAGGCUGAUACCGCCCAAGAGUUCAUAUCGACGGCGGUGUUUGGCACCUCGAUGUCGGCUCAUCACAUCCUGGGGCUGAAGCCGGUCCCAAGGGUAUGGCUGUUCGCCAUUUAAAGUGGUACGCGAGCUGGGUUUAGAACGUCGUGAGACAGUUCGGUCCCUAUCUGCCGUGGACGUUUGAGAUUUGAGAGGGGCUGCUCCUAGUACGAGAGGACCGGAGUGGACGAACCUCUGGUGUUCCGGUUGUCA